ANGNGGNCCUANCAUGCNAGUCGAGCGAAUGAUGAGGAGCUUGCUCCUCUGAUUUAGCGGCGGACGGGUGAGUAACACGUGGGUAAUCUGCCUGUAAGACGGGGAUAACUCCGGGAAACCGGGGCUAAUACCGGAUAACAAGAGAAGAUGCAUAUCUUCUUUUUGAAAGUCGGUUUCGGCUGACACUUACAGAUGAGCCCGCGGCGCAUUAGCUAGUUGGUGAGGUAACGGCUCACCAAGGCGACGAUGCGUAGCCGACCUGAGAGGGUGAUCGGCCACACUGGGACUGAGACACGGCCCAGACUCCUACGGAAGGGCAGCAGA
rnacentral:rRNA from 1 species